UAUCGAGAUNCGACUAAGCCAUGCGAGUCGAAUGUUCUUCGUGAACAUGGCGGACUGCUCAGUAACACGUGGACAACCUACCCUUGGGUCUGGCAUAAUCCUGGGAAACUGGGUAUAAUUCCAGAUAGGUCACAGAUGCUGGAAUGCACUGUGGCCGAAAGCUCCGGCGCCCAAGGAUGGGUCUGCGGCCUAUCAGGGUUGUAGUGGGUGUAACGGACCUACUANCCUACGACGGGUACGGGUUGUGAGAGCAAGAGCCCGGAGAUGGAUUCUGAGACACGAAUCCAGGCCCUACGGGGUGCAGCAGGCGCGAAAACUUUACAAUGCGGGAAACCGUGAUAAGGGAAUCUCGAGUGCCAGCAUAUAAUGUUGGCUGUCCAGAUGCCUAAAAAGCAUCUGUUAGCAAGGGCCGGGCAAGACCGGUGCCANCCGCCGCGGUAACACCGGCGGCCCNAGUGGUAACCGNUUUAUUGGGUCUAAAGG
rnacentral:rRNA from 1 species